rnacentral:rRNA from 1 species
AGUGAACGCUGGCGGCGUGCUUAACACAUGCAAGUCGAACGGUAACAGGAACUAGCUUGCUAGUUUGCUGACGAGUGGCGCACGGGUGAGUAAUAUAUAGUUAAUGUACCCCAAAGACUGGGAUAGCCACUGGAAACGGUGAUUAAUACUAGAUACACCUCUUUAACAUAAGUUAGAGAGGGAAAUGUCUUUUCGCUUUGGGAUCAGACUAUAUCCUAUCAGUUAGUUGGUGAGGUAAUGGCUCACCAAGGCAAUGACGGGUAGCGGGUUUGAGAGGAUGAUCCGCCACACUGGUACUGAGACACGGACCAGACUCCUACGGGAGGCAGCAGUGAGGAAUAUUGCACAAUGGAGGAAACUCUGAUGCAGCAACGCCGCGUGGAGGAUGACGCAUUUCGGUGUGUAAACUCCUUUUAUGAGUCAAGAAAAUGACGGUAGCUCAUGAAUAAGCACCGGCUAACUCCGUGCCAGCAGCCGACGG